rnacentral:rRNA from 1 species
AGCAGCCGCGGUAAUUCCAGCUCCAAUGGCGUAUAUUAAAGUUGUUCCAGUUAAAAAGCUCGUAGUUGAACUUCGGGGUUUACCCAUUGGUCAGGCUUAAUUGUCUGUACUGGUGAGAUGAAUCUCUACCUUCUGAGGAACUUUCAUGCCAUUUAUUUGGUGUGAUGGGAAAUCAGGACUGUUACUUUGAAAAAUUAGAGUGUUUAAAGCAGGCUAACGUCUGAAUACAUUAGCAUGGAAUAAUGAAAUAGGACGGACUGAUUCUAUUUCGUUGGUUUCUAGGAUCACCGUAAUGAUUAAUAGGGAUAGUUGGGGGCAUUAGUAUUCAAUUGUCAGAGGUGAAAUUCUUGGAUUUAUUGAAGACUAACUACUGCGAAAGCAUUUGCCAAGGAUGUUUUCAUUAAUCAAGAACGAAAGUUAGGGGAUCGAAGACGAUCAGAUACCGUCGUAGUCUUAACCAUAAACUAUGCCGACUAGGGAUCGGACGAAGUUAAUUUUAUAAUGACGCGUUCGGCACCUU